rnacentral:rRNA from 1 species
UACAGAGGGGGCAAGCGUUGUUCGGAAUUACUGGGCGUAAAGGGCGCGUAGGCGGCCGCCUAAGUCAGACGUGAAAUCCCUCGGCUCAACCGGGGAACUGCGUCUGAUACUGGGAGGCUUGAAUCCGGGAGAGGAAUGUGGAAUUCCAGGUGUAGCGGUGAAAUGCGUAGAUAUCUGGAGGAACACCGGUGGCGAAGGCGGCAUUCUGGGCCGGUAUUGACGCUGAGGCGCGAAAGCCAGGGGAGCAAACGGG